GUCUACUACCACCCACCCCCUUCACCCUAUGUCCCCACGGAUGUCCUGAAUCUCAGUCUCCUCUUGAAGUCAGAGCUGGCCUUUGGCUCAGUGGGGCUCAAGACAAGACAGGGUGGAGUCCCUCCUCCGCCUCCUCCCGCCGCUCCCUCUCAGCCCCUGCAGAAAACCGGGAUGAGGUAUCCAGAGAUUCAGCCUCUUGUUUUGGAAACCUCCAGGAUGUGGAAAGCCAAAGAAAGCCAAGAGGAGAGGGCUAAUGACACAGACCAGGGAGCGUAUGUGGUUAAAACAGCUUGGUUUACCUUCAGACCAACUGAAAAAAAUAAUAAGAUGACACCAAUAUUGCAGCUUUCCAUAUAGAAGAAUAACAGAACCAAGGACAAAGCUGUAGCCCAUCUCUGGGGCAAGCUGGUCUGGUAGCAGAGAAGAUAAAGCAAGAAAACCGGUGGAGACAUGUGCUGGCUCAGAAGUGGUAUAUGCCACUUUGACUUGCAUUCAUUGGCCAGUGUCAGUCGUAUGCCCAAGCCAAUGUCAAUAAGGUGGAGAAAAACAAUCCCCUCACAGAAAAAGCAACAAAUAAUUACAAAGUAUGGUCUACCACACUUUCCCAAACAUUGCCAGAAAGACUAGGCUGUGCUUCUUGAAGGCAAAAAUUGAGACUCUUCUCUUGCACCCCCAUUGCCCAGCACAGAAUCUGGCUAUAGUGGAGUACUCAAUAAUGAAAGGAUGGUGCCCACAUGUUCAGGUACAGAAUAAGGACAGUGACUUUAUCAAGACUAGAAGUCAGAUAUCCUGGUAUCAGCCUGCUAUCUUCCUAUCAUUACACCAUGCUGAAUUGUAGUCACCUAAAGGGCUUUGACCUUUUCAGAAAUCAUGAGAGCCCCAAAUCAAGAACAAAACCAACUGUCAACUAAGCAAUUUGAAGAUGAAGGGGGGGUGAAUAUUAAACAAGGAAGCACAGAA